ACUCCUACGGGAGGCAGCAGUGGGGAAUAUUGCACAAUGGGCGCAAGCCUGAUGCAGCCAUGCCGCGUGUAUGAAGAAGGCCUUCGGGUUGUAAAGUACUUUCAGCGGGGAGGAAGGCGAUAAGGUUAAUAACCUUGUUGAUUGACGUUACCCGCAGAAGAAGCACCGGCUAACUCCGUGCCAGCAGCCGCGGUAAUACGGAGGGUGCAAGCGUUAAUCGGAAUUACUGGGCGUAAAGCGCACGCAGGCGGUCUGUCAAGUCGGAUGUGAAAUCCCCGGGCUCAACCUGGGAACUGCAUUCGAAACUGGCAGGCUAGAGUCUUGUAGAGGGGGGUAGAAUUCCAGGUGUAGCGGUGAAAUGCGUAGAGAUCUGGAGGAAUACCGGUGGCGAAGGCGGCCCCCUGGACAAAGACUGACGCUCAGGUGCGAAAGCGUGGGGAGCAAACAGGAUUAGAAACCCCAGUAGUCCCAU
rnacentral:rRNA from 1 species